rnacentral:rRNA from 1 species
GACGAACGCUGGCGGCGUGCUUAACACAUGCAAGUCGAACGGAAAGGCCCGGCUUUUGUUGGGUGCUCGAGUGGCGAACGGGUGAGUAACACGUGAGUAACCUGCCCUUGACUGUGGGAUAACUUCAGGAAACUGGGGCUAAUACCGGAUAGGAGCUCCUGCUGCAUGGUGGGGGUUGGAAAGUUUCGGCGGUUGGGGAUGGACUCGCGGCUUAUCAGCUUGUUGGUGGGGUAGUGGCUUACCAAGGCUUUGACGGGUAGCCGGCCUGAGAGGGUGACCGGCCACAUUGGGACUGAGAUACGGACCAGACUCCUACGGGAGGCAGCAGUGGGGAAUAUUGCACAAUGGGCGGAAGCCUGAUGCAGCAACGCCGCGUGCGGGAUGACGGCCUUCGGGUUGUAAACCGAUUUCGCCUGUGACGAAGCGUGAGUGACGGUAAUGGGUAAAGAAGCACCGGCUAACUACGUG